rnacentral:rRNA from 1 species
GUUUAACCUCAUACUCCCCUACCCCCAUGUUCAUGACUUCAUCCAAUUUCAGAAGCUAAGCAGGGUUGGGUGUGGCAAGAGCUUAGUUUUAUCU